AUACGGAGGGAGCAAGCGUUAUUCGGAAUCACUGGGCGUAAAGGACGCGUAGGCGGGUUUGUAAGUCAGGUGUGAAAUCCUACGGCUCAACUGUAGAACUGCACUUGAAACUACAGACCUAGAGUAUGGAAGGGGCAGAUGGAAUUAGUGGUGUAGGGGUAAAAUCCGUAGAUAUCACUAGGAAUACCGAAAGCGAAGGCGAUCUGCUGGGACAUUACUGACGCUGAGGCGUGAAAGCGUGGGGAGCAAACAGGAUUAGAAACCCGGGUAGUCC
rnacentral:rRNA from 1 species